rnacentral:rRNA from 1 species
UGCCUAACCCAUGCAAGUCGGACGAUCCCGCAAGGGAGAGUGGCGGAAGGGUGCGAACACGUAGGAACCUACCCCAUCGGAGGGAAUAACCCCGCGAAAGUGGGGCUAAUACCCAAAGGAUCCGCGAGGAUCAGAGUCCGCAAGGGCCUGGUGGGAUGGGCCUGCGGCCCAUCGCUUGUUGGUAGGGUAACGGCCUACCAAGGCUACGACGGGUAGGGGGUCUGAGAGGACGCCCCCCACACUGGAACUGAAACACGGUCCAGACACCUACGGGUGGCAGCAGGGAGGAAUUUGGACAAUGGGGGAAACCCCGAUCCAGCAACGCCGCGUGAGGGAUGAAGGCCUUCGGGUGUAAACCUCUUUUCGGGGAGAAGAGACAGGACGGUAUCCCCGGAAUAAGCCACGGCUACUACGUGCCAGCAGCCGCGGUAAUACGUAGGUGGCGAGCGUUAUCCGGAUUUACUGGGCUAAAGCG